GCAACAUCAUCAAGUGUGGGGACAUACAGUAGCCCAAUGGUGACAUCCUAAGAUGAGGCAGGAAGGCUCAUCACUGGAUCACAGAAAGCCAACCAAGUCAGAGUCUAUGAAGAAUCUCCUGUAUCAAUAUUGUAUAAAAAAGGCCAAGGAUGUUGAGCUUCUCAGCUGCUGCACCAACACUAUGACUGCCUGUCUGCUGCCAUGUUCCCCGUCGUGGUGGUCAUGGAAUCUAAACCUCUCAGCUUAAGCCCCAAAUAAACUUUCUGUAAGUUGUCUUGGUCAUGGUAUCUUAUCACAGCAACAGAACCAAGUUAUUUUGAAGAAAAGAAUUUAUGAAAAACCUAUUGUGUAUGUGUGUAUAGUAAGUGUGUGGGAGAGACACAUGCCUGUCUGUGCAUGUGUGUACAGCAGAGAUCAAUGCUGGAUGCCUGUCACUAUUGCUUCCCAUUUUAUUUUCUAGAGAGACAGGGCCUCUCGCCUAGAGUUUGCCAUUUUGGAUAGAUUGACUGGGCAAGUGAGCCAAGGACCUUCCUGUCUCUGCCUCCACAGAGCUGGAAUCACAGAUAUACAUGGCUACGCUGAGCUUUCUAAGUGCUACAGAUCUGAACCCAAGUCCUCAUUCCUAUGUGGCAAGCACUUUCCCCACCAAACCAUCGCCCCAUGG